GACGGGGGAUGCAAGUGUUAUCCGGAAUCACUGGGCGUAAAGCGUCUGCAGGUGGUUUCCUAAGUCCACUGUUAAACCUUGAGGCUCAACCUCAAAUCUGCAUUGGAAACUAGGAGACUUGAGUAUAGUAGGGGUAGAGGGAAUUUCCAGUGGAGCGGUGAAAUGCGUAGAUAUUGGAAAGAACACCGAUGGCGAAGGCACUCUACUGGGCUAUUACCUGACACUCAGAGACGAAAGCUAGGGGGAGCAAAUGGG
rnacentral:rRNA from 1 species